AAAGGUACGUCACUUCCUCUACUAACCAUCUCUCCAUCAAAUCCUUAAAAGCACCUGUUCACAUACAAAUGUGAGUAGACAAACAAACUCACUCAUCAUCUUGUUCUAAUCUCUUUUGAUAUUUUGGAGCUGUAAUUCUGCCACAAGAAAUUUUCAGUGGCUGAGGUUGCCUUUUUAAACUUUAUGUUAACUCAAUGGAAAACACCCCAUGAGUUUAGUCUGUGGGGAAAAAAAGCUUCAUGAAUAAACUCUUGUUAACAAGUGUACACCGUUUGUUCCACCCACAAUAUUUCAUAGAUAUUCAACAUUACUGACCCAAGAGUGUACUGGAAUUUAAAAAAAAGGAGAGAGUUGUCUGUUAAAGUUGUUUAAUUUUCUCUCUUGCAGAUCUGUGGUCAUGAUGGACGUCACGACGGAAGAAGAAGGACAGAGCGGUCAUCUUCCCUGAGCUGAAGCUCUCAGGUAAGAGGAUCUUCUUUGUAUCACAGCUGCAGUUUCAUAUUUUGGCACUAAGAUUUAACAGCUGAGAGUUAAGCUGUUUUUGAGGCUCCUUUGGUUCUAGUUUAACUGUGGAGACAAUUAUCUGACACUGUUACUCACAGAAACCUCUCUGCAGCCUCAAUAGUGUCACAAUGAAGGUUUCAACAUGAUCUAAAGGAGCCAAGACUCCAUGCCUAUGUUUAUUAAUAAUAAAUAAAUUCCCUUUAGCUCCACCAGGCUGAAAAAAAGCUGUUUGAUUGUAUUAAAGAUGUAUUUAGCACAGAUUAACAGACACUAAAGUGACAUUACUCUGUAUUUCAACACAGUUAAAUAGUGGAGAGAAGCUGAAAAACAGAAAGCAGGUCUCAAAUGGCAGAUUUAUCAAUGAAGUAAUGCAAACAAAAAUACUAGAAACAAAAUUGCUAAACUUGAAUUAACUUUAUUUAAAUAAUACAGACUAGACUAACCUUGGUACAGUAAAAUAUUACGACAAGAAACUUUUUAUUCACAUGUGUGGAGAGCACUGCCACUCCCAUCCACUGGGCGGCAGCGUUGCUCCCUCUGUUGAGAGCAUAUACUGUGAAGAAGAUGAUUGACAGCUAUCCACCUGAACCCAUUGAAACCGGCAGAAGCGUGUACGCAUUUUAACCUUCCAAGCCAGUGGCGCGGCUGCGCAUUUCUAUCCUUUAAGCUAUGAGCGCAGAUACGUCAUUUAGCAACAUUCUGUAGUUUUUCAAUCAUUUCUGGAGUCAUGGCGAAUCAAAUCAUCAUACCAGUCUACCUCUGAUAAGCUAUUAAAGCUUAAGCGCUUGGAUUCAUGCUCGGAUCUUCCUACGUGCCUCGUGAGGAAAGGAAACAAUUACAGAGGCGGAGAGCAGCUUCGGAGGAGAAGCAUCGGGCAGUGUGAACAACCUCUUCAUAGUGAGGUCUUUGGCUCACAUUAUCGGUGAUUUCUGUGAGUGUUGCAUGACUUUGGGUGAGCACAGAGAUGAACACACUGUCAGAAACUUAUUUAUCUAUUUAUUAGUUUUUGGUGCUGCUUUUGUACUAACACUAUACUGGGGCAGCUACAUACCCUUUCAACAUUUAAUUUUUUAUAUUUACAUUUGUAUUGAAUGGACACUUUAUCAUGACUGCCUCUUGUUUUACAGAAAGCAAAUAGUUUGUUUUUCUCCAGUGCAAUCCUUACUUUUAUUUAUACAGCCACUUUAUUUCAUUUGAGUUCGUUUGUUCGAGGUUUUUGAUAAUGUGAUGAAGGUUCGGAAAAAUAAAAGAUAGGUAUCUUGAAAGCCACAUGUAUAAGCUCUCAAAUACUUUUUAAAUUUUGUUUCUAUCUGCUACAGAGGCUGACAUAUCAGCUUUUUUGUAAACCUCAACACUCAACAAGAAAACCUCAGGAUCUGGGGGCCCUUCUCAAAAUGGCCCUCAGGAUUUCAGAGGUGGGUCUCAGACAGGGUUCAGGUCUUAAUGGGUUAAAAGUGGGGAAAAGUUUCUCUGCCUCUGUAGUGGAUAGCUGUCAAUCAUCCUCACAGUCUAUGCCCUUACCAGAGAGACAGAGAGCUCUUUACACAAAUGUGGUCAAGUUUUUUCUGUCAUGACUCUAAAAUUACCAUUUUGCUAGAACUGCCACAUUUUUAUAUCAUAUAUCAAACAAGUAGUCUUAAAGUUGAAAAUGAGUAACAUUACGCUAGCAAUAAUAAGAAUUUUUUUAUCUUUAAAUCAUUAAUUCUAGCCAUAAACUGCAGUGGUUUCUAAAAAAAAAAAAAAAAAAAACCUAAUCAAAUAGAACUGUCCACCAGAGGGCGCUGUUUCUAGCUAAAACUGCCCUGCUGUAAAUAAUGACUGUAUUAUUCCACUUAAUUUAAAAUAAAAGAAUCAUCUACCAACACAUGUCAUGAGUCUUUAUCAAUAUAUUUAUGGAUAAUUCAAUAAAUUAGUAUGCCUUUGUAUCUGACAGAAACAUACUCGUAGUAGAAAAUUGUGACAUGUUGUUCUUGAAGCAGAUCGAGGACUUUCAGUCCAGUGACUGACGGAAGUGUAAUGCAUAUUAAGACUAUUGCACUAAAUCAUGAAAGAAUCACAUUAAACACUGGAGUUAAAAGUCCCAUGUUUAAUUGAUGUAAUAGACACAAGAACAAUAACACCCAACACGGCGAAAGGUUUACUUAUUCAUUUCUUCAUAGAUAUUUGAGACCUACAUCAGCUGCUCUGACAGUCAUGAAAAAAUAAGUGCAAUCAGGUCUUAAGCACAAAUUCAGUAAAACUUUUUACUUAAAUUUGUUUUUACUGUUUCAAGACAUCACGGUUAAAAACAACUCCUUGAUCAGUAAAGAAGCCUGAGAGUUUCUCUGAGCUCUCACCACGGUCCAGUUUGACAUCCUCAGCACAGAUUUUUGUCUUUUGUUGGGUUAAAUGUGACAAACUAAUUGUGUCUUUUCUUUUCUUUCAGGACCAACUGUGGUUUUUUCCUCUUGUGAAUUGUUUUUCUUUGUUCAUACUUAGCAUUUUUGGGGGAGUCUAAGUAUGUGGAUUAUUUAGUUGGAGUAUAGUUUAGUUAAGUUAGGUACAGGCAGUGAAGGUAGGAGUUUUAUUUGAUUUCUUUGAUAUAAGAGAGAUCUUGAGCUCCCCUUUUAGGUACUUGCUACACUCUCUGAUAGGUGGGUUGGAGAUUGAGCUGCCUAUAAAAGGAGAGGAGAAUUGCUCCCAAAGAAGAAAGAUGUGCCCUUGUAUAAUCUCAUUUCAGACUCAUUUUGUUUGAUCUUGGGAAAAGUUUGUAGUUUUUAAUGGAACCUUUAUAUGUGGACUUGACUGUAAAUAAAAACAUAUUCACUUCUGAGAAUACAGCAGUCUGUUGAGUUGCCUUCCCUACCACCUUCCUAGGCUCUUGAGCCAAAACUACUUUACAAAGACCCUGAAGAACUGAGCCAACAACAUAAUCACCAGAGGGGGGGACCCACAAGUUUAUUUAAAAAAAUAAAAACUGUGACUAUGUGUCUCUUUAUUUUAAUCAGAUCCAAGUCUAGUUGAAAGGAGAGUGAAAGAGAAAACAAACAGAAUAGUCCAGGUCUAGGUGAAUUUUGAAGUCCAGGAGCCAAAGUGCCAAGAUAAAAGGGCGCGCAGUUCAUACCCAAGUGUGGAUCGUAUCUUGUAGCAUGUGUGUUAGUCAAUUGGCUCUCAAUGUGUGGACCCCGGUUCGAUUCCAGCUAGUGACGGGGUAGUUCAAAGUAAUGAAAUGAUGAAAAUUUCCUUCUAUACCGUAAUCGGUAUAGACUCCUGAAGAAGUGAUGGUUCACUUCUAAUGAUGGCUAAUUCUGAUCGUUACUAAUACUCUCCAGCCACGAGUUGGUAUCAAACCAGGCCCCAUUGGGUGCCAAUAGACUUCCAUGCAGUGCCAUUAGAUAGGAUCCACACUAGGGCAUGCGGAAUGCCCACUUUUAUCUUUGGCUAAUGGACUUUAAAAAUUCAAGUAGAUGUGGGUAAGGUGAGAAUCGAACCCACGACCUCAAGAGUCUCAGUCAGUGUUCUUACCCUCUGAACUAUGCAGGCACACAGAGUAAUUCCGGGUUUUUCCUAUUUAACUCUUCUU
rnacentral:lncRNA from 1 species